GCGCCUGUAGCUCAAUCGGAUAGAGCAACAGCCUUCUAAGCUGUAGGUCACUGGUUCGAUUCCAGUCAGGCGCA
rnacentral:tRNA from 1 species